AUGGCCACCGCCGUCGCAUUUGCCCACCUUCUACUUUUCCUCGUCUUGGUGUCCCCAGUGGCCUGCUACUCUGCUAGUCCCUCGCACCGCUGCGACUGGUGCCCUCGGUGGUCCACCGCCUCCCUCCUGCCUCCCGAUGCCACCAUCACCGGAGCCGCGUGCGGGUACGGUGGCCCGGCAGCGGCAGCUGAGCUUGCUGACGGGAGCUUCCACAUUGCGGCCGUCAACACCGGCUUUUUCCGCCAAGGCCAGGCCUGCGGCGCCUGCUACCAGCUGAGGUGCAGGGGCCGGAGCGCGUGCGCGAAGGACGAUGUCAAGGUCGUCGUCGUCGCCGACGUGCCGGAGACGAACAGCACAGGCGGGGGCGAGCGGUUCAUGCUUACCAAGGACGCCUUCGCCGCCUUGACUACUACUGGUGCCGAUGGUCAGCCGGCCGUCGACGUCGACUUCAGGAGGAUACCUUGCGCUUAUAAAAGCAAAAACCUUGCAGUGAGGGUGGAGGAGACGAGCAGCAGGGACAAGGGCCACCUCGCCGUCAGGUUCCUCUACCAGGGCGGCCAGACCGACAUCGUCGCCGUCGAGGUGGCGCGGGCGGAAAUUCCUGGUGCCACUGCCACGACCCAGAGUACCGCCGCGCCGUCGCUGACCACAUGGCAGUACAUGACGCAGCGCGAGGGGUCGCCGGGCGUGUGGCGCACGUCCCGCACGCCGGCCGGCCCGUUGAGGCUCCGGCUCGUCGUGACCGCCGGCUCCGGCGGCAAGUGGCUUCGAGCCGAAGGUGUAGUGCUCCCCGCGGAGUGGCAGGCCGGCGCGGUCUACGACACUGGACUGCGCGUCACCGACGUCGCCGCAAGCACCUGCGGCGGCGCCUCCUGCUCCGCCUCCGGAGACGGCGAGGAGGAGUAG
rnacentral:rRNA from 1 species